GGACAGGUGGCUGAGUGGUUGAAGGCACUCGACUCGAAAUCGAACGUAGGGGCAACUCUACCGUGGGUUCAAAUCCCACCCUGUCCGCCA
rnacentral:tRNA from 1 species